UCUCCGUUGGUGAACCAGCGGAGGGAUCAUUACUGAGUUACCGCUCUAUAACCCUUUGUGAACAUACCUAACCGUUGCUUCGGCGGGCAGGGGAAGCCUCUCGCGGGCCUCCCCUCCCGGCGCCGGCCCCCACCACGGGGACGGGGCGCCCGCCGGAGGAAACCAAACUCUAUUUACACGACGUCUCUUCUGAGUGGCACAAGCAAAUAAUUAAAACUUUUAACAACGGAUCUCUUGGUUCUGGCAUCGAUGAAGAACGCAGCGAAAUGCGAUAAGUAAUGUGAAUUGCAGAAUUCAGUGAAUCAUCGAAUCUUUGAACGCACAUUGCGCUCGCCAGCAUUCUGGCGAGCAUGCCUGUUCGAGCGUCAUUUCAACCCUCAAGCACCGCUUGGUUUUGGGGCCCCACGGCACACGUGGGCCCUUAAAGGUAGUGGCGGACCCUCCCGGAGCCUCCUUUGCGUAGUAACUAACGUCUCGCACUGGGAUCCGGAGGGACUCUUGCCGUAAAACCCCCCAAUUCUUUACAGGUUGACCUCGGAUCAGGUAGGAAUACCCGCUGAACUUAA
rnacentral:rRNA from 1 species